UAGACAUUCUUUUCCUUUCUCCUCGGUACCUCCUCCAUUUACCUGUCUUUAACACGUGGCAUGCUUUGAUUAUACAAGAUGGGACAGGAACACGCUAGACCUGCUAAGGGUUUGUUGGCUUGUGACAUUGUAAAAGAGAGGGCAGGGGAAGAUGCAAUGUUGAAACUUAAAAAGAUUGCUAAGGUGUGUGGCUUUCAGACGUUGCCCAGUGGAAGAUUACAACCUGAGUUUUGGAG